ACCAUACAGAAUAGGAAAAGUAGCUCUUUGUCGGUUUCUUCUUCUUUUCCAGUUCAGCGAGAGUCAAAGAGUGAAAUCAAGGCUAAGACAGAGAGGAGGUAGAGGUAACCAACCUUUGAAGGAGUGAAAUCAGGGACGGACAGUAAAUUCAUUAGCGGCUUUCUUUCCCUUGGUUACUGUGUUUGACUUCUCCUUAAUGCAAUAACUGCACACUUUGACGUAUAAUUAGAUUCUCAGAUCAAAUCUUGACUUCCUUAAUGAAAGAAGAGAUGAGAGACCGGCCAAUAAAUAGAAUAGGUUCAGGAGAGAGAGGGGAAGGAUCGAUCAUUAAUCAGGGAAUAAGGUAAUCUCAGCCUAUUUACCUUAUGUUUGAAGGGACAAGUUCAGUAGCUCAGUUCGUAAACAAGAAUGAAUCGAGAGUCUUUCCUUCCGAAUUACCGAGUCUUUGAAUAAGAAGGAGCCGGAGUGAAGUUCGUUCAGUUUCAUUCAUCUGGCUUGAUUCUUUCACUGUAAAGGCUAUUAGGAUAGGGUCCGGACCCAAUUGAAAGAAUAAAUA